rnacentral:sRNA from 1 species
UGACCAUCACUGGGAGGAGACUGCCUCCA